CACUGGCCAGAGCCGGAGAAGUUCAUCCCUGAAAGGUUUACAGCAGAGGCCAAGGCCAGUCGACAUCCGUUCGUAUACCUGCCGUUUGGGGCCGGCCCCCGAACCUGUGUGGGAAUGAGGCUCGCCCAGCUGGAAAUCAGAAUGGCUCUGGUGCGUCUGUUCGGCAGGUUCAGCAUCGUGGCCUGCUCUGAGACCAAGGUUCCUCUUGAGUUGCAGUCAUUCAGGACUCUGGGACCUAAAAACGGCGUAUUUGUAAAAAUCACAAAAAGAGACGUAGGACAGGGUGAAGCCAGUUCUCCAUCCGAUGGUUAGAAACUCACCAUUCAUCUUCUUGUCCUUGUUUCUGGCUUUUUCUCUUGAUUUCUUUGCACAGCUCAAUUACCAAGGCCAUCUAGUGAACUGGAUGAUAAUGUUGCUGCACUAAUGAUUGAUGACUGGUCCCAAUGAGGGCUGCANGUUAUCAGUUACAGCAGGC